AGACAAUAUAGAAGACUAGUAUUCUAUGUAUGUAUGGUCGGCACGGUUUGGUAGCAUCUCUGGCUGCUGUUGAUCUUGUUUUUGGAGUAAAACACGGUGGAAGCUGAAUUAGUGAGGAUGACUCCUGCUCCUGUCAUCUCUAAGCUCCUCACAUCUUUACCUGCACAUGAGGAAAAUCACUCCUGUAGAAUGCAGUGGUUCAUCAGAACCUCUGGGGAUGUCCUGUGGAUUCUGUGGAUCCUGUGGGUUGCAGGGUGGGUCCUACCUAGACCAGGCUGAUCCUGGACCAUCCCACAGAUGCUCAAUCAGAUCUGGAUGUGGGGAGUGUGGAACCCAGAUGUUCAGAGGGAGAUGAUGCCACAUCUGGUCCAGCUGAUGGAAGGUCUUGAAGUUCUCUGACUGGCCUCGACUGAAGAUGGUCGUCUCACUGGAUUUAAGAUGCACAAUGAGGGACGUCUGCAGAGACUGAGAAAGAGUCUCACCACAUCCUGACAUGAGGAACAAGACUUUAUUGAAGACUACAAUGAGAAAAACUAUCAGACAGCAGACGGCUGCAUUCAAGUCUGUAGCUGCUGAAUUCAUGGAUGAAUCAUCUGGCACUAGAGAGGAAGACCAUCAAACAUCCACGUCAGCUGAUGGAGGUCCAAGAGUCUCACCAAACAACCAACCUACAGAGUGAAGACCUCAAAUCUGAUUGGACGGCCUCCUAUUCAACCACAUGUGUGAACAAAUGCCUCUAAGCUAAUUUGUUUUCUAAAAUAAAUCUAGUUUGAGUCCUAAUCUAUGCCUGUGUGUUUGCUUCUUUACACCACUGUUAACAGUUUAGGCUGUUAGAUUGUUCCAG
ensembl:lncRNA